GUGCCUAACACAUGCAAGUCGAACGGACGAGGGGAGCUUGCUCCCCAAGUUAGUGGCGGACGGGUGAGUAACACGUGAGCAACCUGCCCUUCGAGGGGACGAACAGCUGGAAACGGCUGCUAAUACCGCAUGACACAGCGGGAGGCAUCUCCCUGCUGUCAAAGAUUAUAUCGCCGAAGGAUGGGCUCGCGUCUGAUUAGGCAGUUGGUGAGGUAACGGCCCACCAAACCUACGAUCAGUAGCCGGCCUGAGAGGGUGAACGGCCACAUUGGGACUGAGACACGGCCCAAACUCCUACGGGAGGCAGCAGUGGGGAAUAUUGCACAAUGGGGGAAACCCUGAUGCAGCGACGCCGCGUGAGUGAAGAAGCAUUUCGGUGCGUAAAGCUCUGUCAGCAGGAAAGAAAGUGACGGUACCUGACCAAGAAGCCCCGGCUAACUACGUGCC
rnacentral:rRNA from 1 species